rnacentral:rRNA from 1 species
GACGAACGCUGGCGGCGUGCUUAACACAUGCAAGUCGAACGGUGAAGGAAGAGCUUGCUCUUCCGGAUCAGUGGCGAACGGGUGAGUAACACGUGGGCAACCUGCCCCUGACUCUGGGAUAACUCCUCGAAAGAGGUGCUAAUACCGGAUACGACCACUUCGGACAUCCGAUGGUGGUGGAAAGUUUUUCGGUCAGGGAUGGGCCCGCGGCCUAUCAGCUAGUUGGUGGGGUAAUGGCCUACCAAGGCGACGACGGGUAGCCGGCCUGAGAGGGCGACCGGCCACACUGGGACUGAGACACGGCCCAGACUCCUACGGGAGGCAGCAGUGGGGAAUAUUGCGCAAUGGGCGAAAGCCUGACGCAGCGACGCCGCGUGAGGGAUGAAGGCCUUCGGGUUGUAAACCGUCUUUCAGCAGGGACGAAGCGAAAGUGACGGUACCUGCAGAAGAAGCACCGGCUAACUACGUAGCCAGCAGCCGCGGUAAU